CGCCGCAUAGGGGAUGGGGUUCCCCCUUAUAACCGCCCGUACAGGGCUGAUGACUCCUGCCGUUGC
rnacentral:ncRNA from 2 species